rnacentral:piRNA from 1 species
UGCAUGAAGGAGGAGACUAGAGUCUCUCCAU